CGCGGGCGCCAGCCGGGAAGUGCUGCUAGGUUUGUUUCGCUGAGGUGCGUCCCCAGCCCAAGGGCACGACCGUGGUGGCCAGUUUCCGAGCCUCGCCCGGCUGGGGGCACGCGGUGGGCAUCCCGGUGUUGCCGUGAAACGAAAUUUAUUUGCUAAACUUGGCCGAGCUUUUGAAGUUGUUGAAUGCCUGCCUCAGAAAGUUGCCUCGUUCUCUGGGCUGUGUAGUUGGGUUUUUUUUAGUUAGAAUAUCGGCAGCGAAAAUGAUAAAUCCCCUAAACCUUGCCGAAAUAAAAACUGGCUGCGUCUUUUUUUUCCUUGGCUAUGAUCAACUGGGGUGCUUUUCUUUUAAAAAUAGUUUUUUAUUAUUAUUUUAAAAAGCAGUGCUGAGUAUAUUAAUUUAGGGUAGACGAAGAAAGGAUGAAAUUGCGCUGUCUCUGCCUAGAGAUAAACCAUGAACACGUUGUCAUGUGUGUUUCAUUCAGUCUUUUUGUUGAUCUGUUUUAUAAGUGCUGUACUUAUUGCAUAGGAGGUACCUGUGUUUAGAAAGCAUUUAUUGAAUGAUUACAAGCAAGAUGUAUCAGAAGAUCCACAAUCAGAAUCUUGUCGUUGGAUCUGCUGAGAGCUGGUCCCAUGGAGGAAAAAAAGACAAGUACACACAGAUGUGUGUGAUGCUACGUCAAGAGAGAUCCCAGAUUUGGGAUCUGCAGGCUUCAAGAGCUCAUCUUCAGCUAUACGGAGCAACUGGAGUCAGCAGCAGCUCUAGUUCUUGGAACCUCAGGCCAUUUUGCUCAACUCAAUAGAACACCCUCCUUUAGAUUUAUUAGAAACCUCCAAGAAAAAGAAAUAUGGCAGCUGGUACUAAAGCAGGAGCUUUAUGUUACAUCUUUCAAACUAUAGUGCAAGUGCCGUGAUUCUGAUAAAAUCUCCCUCCAUCCUACCGCGCCCCUAAACGUAUUGAGAAUCCCUGACUAGGAGGAAACAGGCUGAGCGGUUUGCUGAAUAAGGCUGAUCGCCCCUGCUGUGCAUGCUGUCCAUAGAUGGAAUGGACUUCUUUCGAGAAGCCCAGCUCCCUGACUCUGACUGUCGGAGGAGGCUGCCAAGUGACAAAACACCUGGCAUGGGAGACUGAGCCCUGGGUUUCCAGAGGGGCCAGGCCCCCAGAGCACACCGGUUUGGAACAAAUCGAUUUUGUCUGAACCUCUAUACUGUCUUCCUUAAUGGCUGUACUGAUUUACAUUGCUGCUGUCAUUAAUAGAUGAGGAAACUGAGGCUCUGAACAUUUGAUGAGUGUCCCAACACUUGACUAUCCUGAGGGAGAAUGUGAAGGAAGACAGGUGGCGGCCGAGUUCCUGACGAGGAACCCACGGGUGCGUGGGGACUUGCUCUUUCUCCUGAGUUGAUUACCUUUUGCCAGCAGAUGAGCACAUUUCUCCUCUCGGCCUGGAUCUUCUAUUAGUAAGUGUGUCCGGGAAGUAUUCAUGAAAGUUCUGUUUUUCCAGAACCCUGGAAUGAUCAUGGCAGGUCAGGAACUGAUCAUGAGAUCAUGUCCUUCCCAACACGUGCACCCAUUUUUUCAUUCUCCAUUGAGGAUAUCCUUUCAGGGAACAUAAGUGAAGGGCUAUCUUUUUCUCAUCCAUCCAAUGCCAUGUUGGGGAAAUGACUCACUCAAUCAACCAUGUCAGAGGCUGCAGGGGUCUUAGGUGUGUGGUGACCACAGGUGACAGGGAUGUGUGACAGCAGGUGCUGAAGGUCAGGUAUGGAGGCAGGUGAUUCAUCAGGUGCUCAGCCCGUCAGGCCAGGCGGCUUCCACAUACGCUACUUUGUCUCUAUCCUCAUCUGUUUUCUUUCACAGCACUUACAACUGCCUCAGCAUUGUUUGUUUACUUAAAUCUAGUUUAUCAACCCCUAGAACAUGUCUUCCUGACCACAGCUUUUUGUCUUUAUUACUACUCCAUCUCCAACAUUGAGAACAGUGCCGGGAACUCAAUGACUAUUUUUUUGAAUAAAUAAAUGGAUUAAAUUUUU